GGCGACGUAGCUCAGCGGUUAGAGCGGGCGCUUCAUAAGCGCUAGGUCGGAGGUUCAAGUCCUCCCGUCGCCACCA
rnacentral:tRNA from 1 species